rnacentral:rRNA from 1 species
UCCCGUUGAUCCUGCGGGAGGUUGCUGCUAUAGGAAUUCGAUUUAGACAUGCAAGUCUUCCAGCAAUGGAGGCGAAAUGCUCAGUAACACGUCGUUAAUCUGCCCUGUGGUCAGGAAUACCUUCGGGAAACUGAAGACAAAACUUGAUAGGAACUGGAUACUGGAAUGUUCCAAUUCUUAAACUCGUGCCACAGGAUGAGACGGCGGCGGAUUAGGCAGUUGGUGAGGUAAUGGCUCACCAAACCUUUGAUCCGUACGGGCCUUGAGAGAGGUAGCCCGGAGAAGGACACUGAGAUACUGGUCCUAGCCCUACGGGGUGCAGCAGUCGCGAAACCUUUACAAUGCACGCAAGUGUGAUAGGGGGAUUCCUAGUGCUCAAGUUAAACUUGGGCUUUUGUCAAGUUGAAACUGCUUGGCGAAUAAGUGGUGGGUAAGACUGGUGCCAGCCGCCGCGGUAACACCAGCGCCACGAGUGGGAACCGCGUUUAUUGGGCCUAAAGCGUCCGUAGCCGGCUUAGCAAAUUUUCUGUGAAAUCUCAGGGCUUAACUCUGGGGCGUGCAGGAAACACUACUAAGCUUGAGACCGGAAGGGGUCAGAAGUAUGCUUGGGGGACUGGUAAAAUGGAUUAAUCCCAAGUAGACUACCGAUGGCGAAGGCAUCUGACCAGUACGGGUCUGACGGUGAGGGACGAAAGCUAGGGGAGCGAACCGGAUUAGAUACCCGAGUAGUCCUAGCUGUAAACGCUGCGAGCAAGGUGUUGCGGCUUCCACGUGAAUCCGCAGUGUCGAAACGAAGGUGAUAAGCUCGCCGCCUGGGAAGUACGGUCGCAAGGCUGAAACUUUAAGGAAUUGGCGGGGGAGCACAACAAGGGGUGCGGCGUGCGGUUUAAUCUAACUCAACGCAGAGAACCUUACUAGAAGCGACGGCAGAAUGAAAGUCAGGCUGAAGGUCUUACUCGACGAGCCGAGAGGUAGUGCAUGGCCGCCGUCAGCUCGUGCUGUAAAGUGUCCUCUUAAGUGAGGUAACGAGCGAGACCUGUACCCACAAUUUCUAACGGCCUUCGGGACCGAGCACAUUGUGGGAACUGCCCUGGAAACAGGGAGGAAGGUGCAGGCUAUGGUAGGUCUGUAUGCUCCGAAUCUUCUAGGCUACACGCGCGCAACAAUGGUAGAGACAAUGGGAUGCAACUCCGAAAGGAGAAGCUAAUCCUCCAAACUCUAUCUUAGUCUAGAUUGAGGGUUGUAACCCACCCUCAUGACACUGGAAUCCCUAGUAAUGGGAUCUCAUCAUAGUCCCGUGAAUAUGUCCCUGCUCCUUGCACACACCGCCCGUCAAACCAACUGAGCAGGGUUUAGGUGAAAUUCAUCCAUUUAGGUGCAUUGAAUCUAAGCUCAGUGAGGUGGGUUAAGUCGUCACAAGGUA